AUACGUAGCUGCGCAUGGAAGAAAUUUAUGUCCGGAUGGUGCGCACCUUGUAGCAAUACUGUAGUUUCUUGUUUGCCUUCUCUCCUCAUCUCGUAGCCACCGCGCGGCACGUUUGGCCAGUGACCAUUUGCAGAUAACUGAGCCAGUUCUCUGCGCUCUGUUGCAGCAUCAUCCUGCUUCCGAUCGCCAUCACCUUCUACACAACAUGGUGGUUCAUCCGCUUUGUCGACGGCUUCUUCUCGCCGAUCUACAUCCAUCUUGGGAUCGAUCUCUUUGGUAUAGUAACCCACAACACACGCCGUUGGUUCAGUCUGAAGAAAUUGUUCUGAGAAGACCGAUUACGGUAACUUCAGUUUUCUCUGCAAUUGACGUCUUGACAACGACCAGUUUCAUCUCGGGCAGGUCUCGGGUUUGCGACCUCGAUCACCUUCAUCUUUCUCAUCGGCUUGUUCAUGUCCUCGUGGCUGGGCGCCUCCCUUCUCGGCCUCGGCGAGUUCUUCAUCAAGAAGAUGCCGCUCGUGCGCCAUAUCUACUCAGCUUCGAAGCAAAUUAGCGCUGCGAUAUCUCCAGACCAGAGCUCACGGGCCUUCGAAGAGGUGGUGAUCAUACGGCACCCUCGGAUCGGCGAGUACGCACUGGGCUUCAUCACGUCGACGGUGACGCUGCGCGGCGCGGGCGGACGUGGCGACCAGGAGCUCGCCUGCGUCUACGUGCCGACCAACCACCUCUACCUCGGCGACAUCUUCCUCAUGAGCCGCGCCGACGUGAUCAUACCGGACCUCUCCGUCCGGAGGCCAUCGAGAUUGUUCUCUCCGGCGGCAUGUCGGUGCCCAAGAUCAUAUCGGCGGUGGAGGGGGUCAUCAGCCUCAGCGACCAUGGCCGUGCAGUGAAGGGCCCUUAGGCCAUCCUUCUUCCCUCCUGACAGUUGACAGUAUAAAACUCACAAGCAGCUGUCGGAUCCAAAGAUUCUGAUCUUCAUAGCUCCAGUCUUGUUUGUCCAGGUUUUGAAUGUUUAGAUGGCAGACUUAGAGAACGUGUCCCAGUUUUGAUCAGAUACAGGGAAGGGAGUCUUUGGUCUGGCAAGCUUGUGCUGUGCAAAUUCCUUCCUGCUGUAGACGCGAAUCAGGAGGAGAGUCGCAGUCCGGCGCCAAUCCACCCGGGUUCCCCUUCAUCUUCGGCAGCCUACCGGCACAGGGUAAAGGGGAACCCAGAUCUUCCUUGUCUGGUGUACAUGCCUAUUUCUAGUAUGUUGGAGUAGCUAGGGUUAGGUUUUCCCCAUGCCAAUUCCAUCGGUGGUGGGCGUCUGCUACCUCCGGCUCCUUCCUGGUGACUGUGUCAGUUAAGGUGUGUGCUCUGACGAGGAUGCUGGGAGGAUUUUGCUUUCUCCGAGCGGGCUAUGCGGAGGCUUCGAUGAUGGCGAUGACACCAGCAUCGAUGGCUUUGCCAGCAUUGCUCAUGAG